rnacentral:rRNA from 1 species
UACGUAGGGGGCGAGCGUUAUCCGGAUUCAUUGGGCGUAAAGCGCGCGCAGGCGGGCUUGCAAGCGGGGCCUUUAAUCUUGGGGCUUAACCUCAAGUCGGGUUCCGAACUGCAAGCCUCGAGUGUGGUAGGGGAAGGCGGAAUUCCCGGUGUAGCGGUGGAAUGCGCAGAUAUCGGGAAGAACACCGAUGGCGAAGGCAGCCUUCUGGGCCAUUACUGACGCUGAGGCGCGAAAGCUGGGGGAGCGAA